GGCAAGCUUGAGUCUCGUAGAGGGGGGUAGAAUUCCAGGUGUAGCGGUGAAAUGCGUAGAGAUCUGGAGGAAUACCGGUGGCGAAGGCGGCCCCCUGGACGAAGACUGACGCUCAGGUGCGAAAGCGUGGGGAGCAAACAGGAUUAGAUACCCUGGUAGUCCACGCCGUAAACGAUGUCGACUUGGAGGUUGUGCCCUUGAGGCGUGGCUUCCGGAGCUAACGCGUUAAGUCGACCGCCUGGGGAGUACGGCCGCAAGGUUAAAACUCAAAUGAAUUGACGGGGGCCCGCACAAGCGGUGGAGCAUGUGGUUUAAUUCGAUGCAACGCGAAGAACCUUACCUGGUC
rnacentral:rRNA from 1 species